GCACACCUCCGCCUCUGGGCGCAUGCUCCGCCGCUGGCUGGGGAGGGUGCGGAGCGGGUUUGAAGGGGGCAUGAUGAGGCGUGAUGGGACCUGGGGAAACUGGGUACCCCAGCUCCGACUGCGCACGAGGUCUCCAGAGGGGGAGGCAAUGGCCGAGGAGAGUUCCCGGUGCCCAAGCGACCGGAGUCCCCAACGAAGUGUCUUACUCAAUUCUUUGUUCGAGACAUCAAGAACCUGGACAACAUGCCAGAAGAGGAUCCCCACUCUCCAAUAACAUCGAGCAUAUUAAGCACUCUGAGAGCCAAGAUAACUUCCUGAAAUGUGUGAUGGAAAUUGAUCAAAAAAAGAAGGAAGCCAAAGAGAAAGGUACCUGGGUUCAACUGAAGCGCCAGACUGCUCCGCCCAGAGAAGCAAACUUUGUGAGAACCAAUGGAAAGAGCCUGAGCUGCUGGAACCCAUUUCCUAUAAAUUCAUGGCAUGAUAAGUGUAAAAAAAUAAAAGACCUGUGUAUUGUUAAAAAAAAUUACAA